rnacentral:rRNA from 1 species
AUGCAGCAGGGUUGGUUAUAUAAUUGGCUAGUCAAACAUGAGGUGGUUCAUAGAUCUUUGGGAUUUGAUCACCGAGGAAUAGAGACUUUACAAAUAAAAGCAGGGGAUUGGGAUUCCAUUGCUGUCUUAUAUGUAUAUGGUUACAAUUAUUUACGCUCCCAAUGUGCUUAUGAUGUAGCACCCGGUGGAUCUUUAGCUAGCGUGUAUCAUCUUACGAGAAUACAAUAUGGUAUAGAUAAUCCAGAAGAAGUCUGCAUAAAAGUCUUUGCCCAAAAGGAUAAUCCUAGAAUUCCGUCUGCCUUCUGGAUUUGGAGAAGUGCCGAUUUUCAAGAACGCGAAUCUUAUUAUAUGGUGGGAAUCUCUUAUGAUAAUCAUCCGCGCCUUAAACAUAUCCUAAUGCCUGAAAGUUGGAUAGGCUGGCUCUUAUGUAAGGAUUACAUAACCCCCAAUUUUCUGAAAUACAAGAUGCUCAUUGAAUGA